rnacentral:misc_RNA from 1 species
UUAACAGUUAACUGCUGAUUCAAGCAUGGCGUUCGAUCGAAGAAGAAAUUUUUUUGUUGUCUCAAAGGGUUGAACUGAAAAUGAAAUCGUGUGAAGUUCCAAAGAAUUUGGAUAUAUUCUAAACAUGUUCUUAUUGCAUUACAGAAUAAUUUUGGAACUGAUUGCAAAAAGGAAUAAGCAUUUUGCAGCUUGCAGCUGCAAGAAGAAGUAGAAGCACGACUGCAAGAAUAAGUAACAUGGGACAGGAAAGGGGAAGUAAAGCAUGGAGCAGAGCUAAUUUUCGUAUGUAGGGGAAGGUUUUUGAUGACAACAAUUUAUCAUUCAUGUAAAAUCAGACAGCCAUGAAAAUUCUGAUUCAGAAGUGGACCCCACGAGGCAUCACCCAAACAUAAUUUUACUGAAAAAGAAAGAAGAAAGGCAAUCCGGGAUCUUUCUUACAUUUGGGAAGGAGUGAAUGGUGUCAAGUUAGAAAAGCUUGAUAUUUAGAGACUCCCUCGUGAAUCCUCCAAAGACAUGUAUUAGAGUCGACCUUGAUGGAAAUACAGACCAGAAGAGAGGGGCACCAAAAUUGUAUGAUGAGAUUUUUCCUUCGUAAAGGUAAUUAAUUAUCCUUUCCAUUGAAUGUUAGUCUACCUUGCAAAUAAUUUAUGUUUGUUUUCCUACUGUUGGAUUGAUUGUAAAAUGAUUUCGCUUGUGCAAGUCAUAGCCUACACAACAGCUAGAGUUUCUGAGUUGCUGCUUCAAAAAUACUGUUGUAGUACUUGUAAAACGACUUCUGAUUGUCCAAGUCAUUCACGGCAGCUGUUGUUUCUGAGUUGCUGCAAGUUGCUGCUUGAUAAAUGCUGGUUAAUUGGAUGAAAGAACAUAAUUCCACUGCUCCGUACCACAUGCUCUCAAGCCUGAUCUUCAUUAUGUGGCCUGGACAGAUGUUUAGGAUCGUCCUGAUGAAUGGCCUUUGUUGGUCUUUGUCCCUGAAUUUGCAAGAUAGGAUCAAUGCAAAUGGAACACAUUUAUCAGCCGGGAUCUGUUGCAGAAGAUGGCAAUUCUCAUCACAAGGCCUAUCAGAAAAAGAUCCUCCGUUGCCGUUAGGUAUACCUGCAAUUUGUUGAAGCCCUCGUCGGAUCCAAUUCUUUGCUGCUAUCUAUUUUGCGAACAAUGAGAAAAUGCUGCCAGGCGAUGGCGGUGAUCCCCCCCCCCCUCCCUCCUCCAAUUGAGUUCUGACUUAGAACAAUCUAAGAUUGAUUGAUUUGAGGUUAGUUCCAGCUGCAGCCAUGUUUGAAUCUGCAAAAUGUUGAAGCCUUCGUCAGAUCCAAUUCUUUGCUGCUAUCUAUUUUGUGGACAACGAGAGAAUGCUGCCAGGCAAUGGCGGUGAUCCCCCCCCCCUCCCCCAAUUGAGUUCUGAUUUAUAGAACAAUCCAAGAUUGAUUGAUUUGAGGAUAAUCCCACCCACUGUUCCAUGGACUUUCUCGGCGGAAACUGAUGAGAGAUUGCUGAAAUUCACGACUGUCGUGCCAAUAAGAAAACAAAAGGUUUUCCAUUCAUGGGUUCGCCAUAUUUCAUACCGGUCUAUUACAGCAGUAGUCAACGCUCUGGUACAACGGCGUACAAGAUUGUCCCACGGCUUACGGAAUUACCAUGCAAGAAUAAGUAACAUAUGACACAGAUGAGGAGAAGCAGAGUGUAUACUUGAGAUGGAAUUGAGUUCUAGUUGCUAGCAAAUGGAAGAGCUAUGACUACUUCUUAAUUCCAAAAUUCAAGUCUCUUGCAAAAGACAUUUGUGCAAGUUUUUCCAUGUUUUUCGGCAAAGUCUACAUCAUGGACUUCAUGCAACAGUCCCUGUUGAAAUAAGAGAGUGUGAAGCAAUCGUCCGAUAUUCGGCAUUAUUUGCGCCCAUCAAUAGUGAUCGUUCCUAACGACUCGGUGUAACAACCUAGGCUAGAAGGAUAAACCAUCAGUAGUGGCAGGAACCUCAUUCAUGACAGCUGUCAAGUAUUUUCUAGACGUUAAACAAAAGUGGGAGCCUACACAACUUGAAAUAUCUAACUCUAGAUUGCCUGCAGUGUUAAGAUUUGUUUUUCAACAUGUUUUUGCCACUUUUGUCAUUUUCUUGGUUCUUUUUAACGUGACCACCUCUUUACUCGUCCCUGCUAUGCUGGAUCUUCCCAGUUCGUCCAUCGACGCCCACCAGCCUCUUCGAAAGAAAGAAGUUUGUCCCAAUAUGGAAGUUCGAAAUGGCCUACAACAGUUUUCGGAAUUGGAGGGCUGCCGAGUGGCUGGAACUGAAAUCGUGAUGGUGGAAUUGCAGCCCGGAUACAUUGCACCACAUCAUUGGGAAAAAUCCAAUGCAAAAUCCAAGCGAUUGCACGUCCUCCCGGUCAUUAUUUGUUUAUGGAGCGGCGAUGCGUUACGUGCCAUCCUUACGUUAAAUAGAAUUGGAAGGCCUUUAGUGAAUCGGGGACUAAAUCGGGAUGCAUCUUGGGAUGUCCGCUAGGCUUUCAGUAACAAAACAGACAUCACAAUUGGCAGCGACAUUAAUUGUAGCCCAUCUAUUAAGAA